rnacentral:rRNA from 1 species
UACGAAGGGGGCUAGCGUUGCUCGGAAUCACUGGGCGUAAAGGGUGCGUAGGCGGGUCUUUAAGUCGGGGGUGAAAUCCUGGAGCUCAACUCCAGAACUGCCUUUGAUACUGAAGAUCUCGAGUCCGGGAGAGGUGAGUGGAACUGCGAGUGUAGAGGUGAAAUUCGUAGAUAUUCGCAAGAACACCAGUGGCGAAGGCGGCUCACUGGCCCGGUACUGACGCUGAGGCACGAAAGCGUGGGGAGCAAACAGG